rnacentral:lncRNA from 1 species
CUUGCUGCACUAGGUUCAAGUGAGACGCGGUAGUUGCUUUCUGUCUGAACGCCGUGUAUUAAAGUCACAAUAAAAACAAACACACAGAUUGAACGACGUAAAUAUUUGACUUACAUAUGUUCGCACAGUUGUCGUCGUUGUCGUAUUUAUCCGGAGCCUACGUUACCCGCUUUGGCUUAGUGUUGUUUGCGUGUUUGCUCGCCUGCUUGCUUGUUUGGGGCAGGUCUGCUGCAGUGAAGUGAAAACAAGUUUUGCGCCCCAACUUCAACACGUCCGCCAGUUGCUGCUGAGAUUGUGGUUCGUGCCACAACUAUUGACACAAGCACUUUACAAUCAUAUAUUUGCAUUGUUUUUCUUCCGUUCGUCAUUUUGUCUGCGCCGCCGGCUGCUGCAACUGUUUACCUGCCGCUGCCAUUCGGCGACACAACAGUUGACCUCAUUUACUUCGGCCCCCAGUUUGCUGUCGCGCCGCCGGUGUUGCUGUUGGUUUUGUGCAGCCAGUUCCAAGCGGCAGCAACAAGCGUGGCAAGAAAACAGCUGUGGUUGAACAGACGUCCAGUUGUGGCAAGCGGAUUUCGUUGCCAUAGGCUGCCACACACAUAUAUAUACCAACAACAUAGCAACACCACUGCGAGUGCUCUUUGCUGAUACGUGUUUCCUCACCACCCCCCAUUUGACAUCAUUAGGCCGCUGACGCAGAAGUUGCUAGACAACUUUUACUUAAUAACGGUCAAUAUUUUGCGAAUUUAUUGCAACCAUAUUUUUGUUUUCAUUUGUUUUUUUCUUGUGUUCUUAGUUUUAUUUUUCUUUUGCUUUAUUACUUAAAUGCGCGUUAGCUACCGACAACAACUUCGUGGAAUCUUGUUUCACUGUUGCAAAUUGUGUUAUUUGCGCUAUUCUCACAACUUAUUUCGAUACGGCCGGACCGCGUGGAUGUCUGUCUGCCACACAUUAAUGAAAUUACAAUUUUUGUGCAUGUAAAAAAAAAAUUUCAUGUAAAUCUAGAUUUCACCUGCACUCUUAUUUGAAGAAAAGUGAAAUUUUUUUGUUGAAAAAACUUAGUAUUAGUAAUUUCUCAAGUUACUACAUAAUAAAAAAAAAAAAAAAUGUCAUACUAAAAUAAUUUUACGCGCGAAACUGAACGAUUUUUAAUUGAGCAACAACAACGAAAGAUCACAAAAACUAAAUCGGGCUACAUAACUUUGCAUUCACUUGCUUCAUUUUACUUUAACUUCUAUUCUAAUUAGUUAAAGUUUCCUCAACAUUAGCUCCCCAUUAAUGGCGAUAAUAAUAAUAAAUACUUGAUAAAACAAUGGCAACUCGCUGACUUGUGGAAAAACGUGGAAAUCGCUUAAUUGUGGGAAAAUCUGAAACAGAUCACCGUUACCGGCAAACAUACACCGGCGCGUUUGGUUGUCUGCUAGCAUACAAUCGCACUCACUGCUGGAACGCCUAAAAGUAUAUUUGUGUGUGAAUAUUUUAUAUGGCUUAGCGCUUACCAGUUGCUUGUUCACUUUUUGAUAGUCCGCCUACCGUCCGUCUAGUCAUUGACCGCGACUAAAAAGUUAACAGACAUUUGCUCACACAUACACAGACAUAUUUCGUUGGCGUACUUAGUAAAUUACAAAUAUAAUAGCGCUGAAUUGUUGUGAGUAUUAACUUUUUUGCUUUUGAAUGUGUAUAUUGGCUGCUAUUAGAUUCUAAACUAGCCAGCGUCAGCUUUACUGGUUUUUUCACGGUUACUGAUUUUCUAUUGUUUCGUAUGACGGUUGCACACUAAAAGCAUAAUUUAUUAUACGUUGUUAGCUAAACUGUUCAUUGGCUUAUUGUAAAUUUGCUAUAAUCGUCGCUUCAGAUAUGUGAAAAUUAGCAUAAAUGGCAGUUUUUCGAUAUAUUACC